ACUCCUACGGGAGGCAGCAGUGGGGAAUAUUGGACAAUGGGCGAAAGCCUGAUCCAGCCAUGCCGCGUGUGUGAAGAAGGUCUUCGGAUUGUAAAGCACUUUAAGUUGGGAGGAAGGGCAGUAAGUUAAUACCUUGCUGUUUUGACGUUACCAACAGAAUAAGCACCGGCUAACUUCGUGCCAGCAGCCGCGGUAAUACGAAGGGUGCAAGCGUUAAUCGGAAUUACUGGGCGUAAAGCGCGCGUAGGUGGUUCAGCAAGUUGGAUGUGAAAUCCCCCGGGCUCAACCUGGGAACUGCAUCCAAAACUACUGAGCUAGAGUACGGUAGAGGUGUGGAAUUUCCUGUGUAGCGGUGAAAUGCGUAGAUAUAGGAAGGAACACCAGUGGCGAAGGCGACUACCUGGACUGAUACUGACACUGAGGUGCGAAAGCGUGGGAGCAAACAGGAUUAGAUA
rnacentral:rRNA from 1 species